UUCAUGUUGCUACGUCAAGGAAAAGUUAAGGGGUUCAAAGUCGCGCUUCAUUUGUGCAGAGAGGCUAGAGCAAUUGAAAGUUUUUCCCCCAAUUUCACUCUCAAGUUAGGGUUCCAGCGAAGUGAAGCAACGAACCAGAGACGUGAACUCCAUGGCUCGUGACGGUUGAAGCGAUUAUUUGACACGUGGCUGGAGCUCAAAUCAUCAGAAAGAGAUGUUGAUGCAAGGAGGUUCGGGAACGAAGCUAUUGUGUCAGGAAGUUAGUUGGAAAGAAGAUCAACCGAGAAGCUUCCGAGUUAGUUAGUGAUUCAUUCCCCCUUUUCCCUUUUCUUUAUUUUUCUGUUUUUUGGAUUUUUCCCCUAUAAAAAGGGAGUCUUGUAAUAUAGAACGUACGUACAUUGGGUGACAGACAGUGUACCUAGCUUAGGGUUUUCAUUCUUCAUGCUUUAGUUUAGAUUUCUUCAAGGUUUGUAGAGAUAGAAUCACUGCUCUAGGAUACUGGAUUUCGUAGAGAAUUCUCACGUGGGUGACAGGCCAUGAGAUUCCUUUGUGAUUUUCGAUUUUCCAGAUUCGUGGUCGAAUCCUCUUCAACCUAGGGGAUGAUGUGAUCAUAGAUCGGGUAAAGGAUGAAGAGAAUAAAAGGAUGACAAGAAGCAUGGCUAAAGGGAAUCUUCUUAUUUCUUGGCUCCUCUAUACUUUUGCACAAAAAGAGUAAAGUAGGUUUCUUGGCUUGUAUUUUGCCUCUUAUAUUUCUUUUUGUUUAUUUUGGUUGUAGAGAAGAUUAUAUACUCUUUUUUUCUUUAAAGUGCAAGCAAUGUGGGACUUCACAUAGUUUAGACAUAAAAGAAAGAAGAAUAAAUAAGCCUUCUUCUCAUUAAA